rnacentral:rRNA from 1 species
CUUGAGGGGUUAAGGCUCCCAGUAGACGACUGGGUUGAUAGGCCAGAUAUGGAAGCGCCGUAAGGUGUGGAGUUGACUGGUACUAAUAGGCCGAGGGCUUGUCCUCAGUUG